GGAGCUGCUGUGGGUGAAGCUUAAGAUGCUUGAAAAACGUGAAACAGCCAGAGAACAACAUCAAGGUGAUUGAGCCAGAAGGUGCUUCCUGCGGCAGGGAAGAGACAGCCAAGCAUUUCUGGGUGGAGGAUGGUCAAGUGACCAGCGCUGCAGAAGAGGAAGGGACAGAGAAAGAGAGAGGCACCUGAACUGGAAAAUUCUGUGGGCAGCGCUGAAAGCAGGAGCUGCGAAUUCCAGCUGCCAGCGUUUCUCCGUGGUCGCCCUUCCUUCUGCCGUGAUGGUACAGGACAGACGGAA